GGGGAAUAUUGCGCAAUGGAGGGAACUCUGACGCAGCGACGCCGCGUGAAGGAUGAAGGCUUUCGGGUUGUAAACUUCUGUCCUCAGGGAAGAGAAAGGACGGUACCUGAGGAGGAAGCCACGGCUAACUACGUGCCAGCAGCCGCGGUAAUACGUAGGUGGCAAGCGUUGUCCGGAAUUACUGGGUGUAAAGGGCGUGUAGGCGGGAAUGCAAGUUGGAUGUGAAAUACCAGGGCUCAACCCUGGGGGUGCAUCCAAAACUGUGUUUCUUGAGUACUGGAGAGGAAAGUGGAAUUCCUAGUGUAGCGGUGAAAUGCAUAGAUAUUAGGAGGAACACCAGUGGCGAAGGCGGCUUUCUGGACAGUAACUGACGCUGAGGCGCGAAAGCACGGGGAGCAAAC
rnacentral:rRNA from 1 species